CCUACGGGAGGCAGCAGUAGGGAAUCUUCCACAAUGGGCGAAAGCCUGAUGGAGCAACGCCGCGUGGGUGAAGAAGGUCUUCGGAUCGUAAAACCCUGUUGUUAGAGAAGAAAGUGCGUGAGAGUAACUGUUCACGUUUCGACGGUAUCUAACCAGAAAGCCACGGCUAACUUCGUGCCAGCAGCCGCGGUAAUACGUAGGUGGCAAGCGUUAUCCGGAUUUAUUGGGCGUAAAGGGAACGCAGGCGGUCAUUUAAGUCUGAUGUGAAAGCGUUCGGCUUAACCGGAGUAGUGCAUGGGAAACUGGGAGACUUGAGUGCAGAAGAGGCGAGUGGAACUCCAUGUGUAGCGGUGAAAUGCGUAGAUAUAUGGAAGAACACCGGUGGCGAAAGCGGCUCUCUGGUCUGUAACUGACGCUGAGGUUCGAAAGCGUGGGUAGCAAACAGGAUUAGAUACCCCUGUAGUC
rnacentral:rRNA from 1 species